GAUAUACUCCCUCCGUCCCAAAAUUCUUUUCUUAGAUUUGUUUAAAUAUGAAUGUAUCUAGUUAAGUUUUAGUAUUUAGAUACAUCCAUUUUUAGACAAAGUUAAGAUAAUAAUUUUAAAAGGGAGGGAGUAUUUA
rfam:Hordeum vulgare subsp. vulgare, WGS project CAJW01000000 data, contig: morex_contig_62554